UGUUAUCAAAUGCAUAAUUUAACUAGUAUUGACAAAGUUUUCCAACUUAGAAACCCUCCCCGUAACAUUUCUGGCCAUUCUAAAAAUUACAAUUUCUUAUUUGACUGGGUUAGUCAAAUAAGAUUUAUAUUUUGGCGGGAAGCCCUUCGAUUAUUUCCGUAAAUGUUCGGAUCGGAGUCACGUGAUUGAUAUAUGUCAAACCAAAAUAAUGGCAGACAAGACGAAAGGUGUGAAACGUAUAGGCUUACAAGAGAAAGAAGAUUUCAGAUUCGGAAAGGAAAAGUGGAAAGAAACCGUGAUUUCAUUCAAUGAAGGAUAUACAUCGGUAGUGAAUCAAGGCGGUGAAAAUUUCUAAAAAGGGAAAUUAAAGCCAAAAGCGACUGUGAAGUUGUAACAUUUUCUGAUUGACAGAAAUAGAUCAAUUACAUCAUCAUCAUCACGUGUUACAAUACCAAGGACAUUAAAGAUGACCUCAAUGCAUUUGCAGGGGAAAGUAAGGUGUCUGGAAAGGAGUUAAGUGAUGACAGGUAGCACUAAAGAAAGCCCAUAAAAUCCUUUUGAAGUGGAAUUGUGACAUAGCAAUUCAUUUCUGGUUUAGUUGUAAAACUGCCACAAACUAGAAACAAUUCAUGAAGCACAGCUGGCAUGGAGGGGUUUCACCAGCACAUUUUGAUGUAUUGUGCCAAAAGAUUUGCAUACACACCACCUGUAUAAAGAAUGGGCAAUCUUCUUAUCAUAGUAUACAGUCAUGCAAAUAGAUCACACAUCACCAACAAGGAGGGAUCUGUAAGACUUCAGCGAAUCUGGAACAAAACAGUUGUAGAUGGUCUGUCUAUGAAUUAAAGAAGAAGAAAAAGUAUCAUUAUAUGGAUACCAUUUUACAUGAUACUAUAACCAUGAGAAUUAAUGACAAAAAGGGGAUAUAUAAAAAAGAAAGUUAGAAGAAGAUGACCCCCACAGACUUUCAAAACAUUUAGCCAAAGUUAGCCCAUAGCCUACCUGAGCCAUUCAUGAGGAACAUAAAUCAAGAUUUGAUUGACUUUUAAUGGACAAGAAUGAUAAAUAAUCUGUUACACUGUUUGCCAUAUUAUUCAAACAUAUUUAAGCUUACAUUGAAUACUUGGUAUUCAUGAUAAUUUUAUGAAAGAUUUUUUUAGAUAUAGAGCUGUAUCUAUCUUGUUUCAAAAUUAUCUUGAUUCAUUUGUCAUGACUCAAGGUUUGUAACAUUUUGUCAGAAAAAAAUGACACUACUUUUAAUAUAUGUGCAAAAUAUUAUCCAAUCUAUCAAACUAUAAGUGCUGUCAUGAGCUUUAAUGUGGUAAACAAAGUUAAAAGUAUUAUUCAAUUAUACCUUUUGAUAUACAUGCAUGUCAUUCAUUUUUAGCUCAACUUUUCUUUCUUUUAUUUUUUUUAAAGAAAUAGAAGUUACAGUCACUUAAGCAUUGCCAUUUGCUAACUUAAACCUUGUUCAUAAGUUCUUACUGUUUUGUCUACACACUUGGUCACCACAACCCUUGCAACAAGACCUUUAAGAAGACAUGACUAACUUUGGCCUUCAUUCAUUAAUGACAUUGACCUUCAAGGUUAAAUGUCUAAAUUUUGGAUUUGCUUGUCAUUGCUAUUAGUGGCUCUAACUUUAUUUUUGAAUAGAUUGCCUUUAAACUUGAGCAUAAUACUCUUUUAGGAUAGACCUUUAAAUUAACCAGACAGGCCUUGACUUUCACUCAUAAAUGACCUUGGCCUUGAAGGUCUAAUUAUUGAAAUAUUCAUUCUUGUGCUGUAAUAGGUAAUAACUUUGUUAUAAUUGAAUGACUCUAUUUUAUAACAGAACAUCCUUCAUGUUUACCUAACUCAAUUGACCUUGACUCUUUUAUGACCUUGACAUUGAAGGUUAAAUUAUUGAAUUUUCACUGCUUUUUUUUUGCUAUAAAUGACUAUAACUUGGUAAUUGAUAAAUGGAUUAUCUUCAUACUUUGACAAAAUAACAUUUUGGAUUAGGCUUUCAGGAAGGUUGAACUGAUCUUUACCUUGAACUUAUAUGACAUUGACUUGCGAGGUCAAAUAUUGAAUUUUUGUUAAAUUGUCAUAAUGUUGUUAUUUAUAUAUUGAUUUGAUUUAAACUUGCCACCAACAAACAUAUUGAAUAAUUUAGAUGUGACCUUAACCUUAACUUGCUAUUGAAUGUUAAGGUCAAAUUAAUGAAAUUCUCUUGUUGUUUUUUUUCAGUAACUGGCUAUAACUUUGUUACCUAUAAAUGGAGUAACUUCAUUUCCAAACUCAACGACUUUCAUAUAUAUCAAAUUCAAAUUCACCUUGACAUAUGUAUGACCUUGAUAUUGAAGGUCAAAUUAUUUUAUUUUCACUUAUUACUGCUAAUAUUGUCUUAAAAAAGGUCAACGUCAAAUUAUUGAAAUUUUGUAAAGUGGUCAUUUUGUUAUCUAUGUACAUAUUUGAUUCAUAAGUGGACUAAACAACACUUGUGACCAAACAGUGGUUUAUGUAACUUAGAAGGAAAAAUGCUAAUUGUCAUUAGUUUUUAGAUGAGUCCAUUUGAUUAUAAGUUCAAUGCCUUAGUGACAUGUAAACUCAUUGUCCCAAGUUUUUGAACAGUUGCUGGGACAUUGCUUAGAGUAGUAAUUGAGCAUUAGCUUGGAGGUUGUUAGGUCAAAAGUCACAAUGGCUUUUCAUACAUCAGAAACUGAUUAGGGGUAAGCACAAGUUAAUACAGUUUGGUUGGAAUUAAAAUAUCAUUUAUUUUCUCCUACAUUAUUGGCCAUCUUCAAGACAACACAAGACAACAUGGAUUUAACUAUGACUGUAAAGAAGUCACUGGUGCACAAUUUUGAGAGUAAGAAAAAAUAAGAUCUGCUGUUCAUUUAAAAAUAUUUUUAU